GCGGAUGAGAGGAGGUUGCUCCUGGAUUCAGCGGCGGACGGCUGAGUAAUGCCUAGGAAUCUGCCUGGUAGUGGCGGAUAACGUCCGGAAACGGGCGCUAAUACCGCAUACGUCCUGAGGGAGAAAGUGGGGGAUCUUCGGACCUCACGCUAUCAGAUGAGCCUAGGUCGGAUUAGCUAGUUGGUGGGGUAAAGGCCUACCAAGGCGACGAUCCGUAACUGGUCUGAGAGGAUGAUCAGUCACACUGGAACUGAGACACGGUCCAGACUCCUACGGGAGGCAGCAGUGGGGAAUAUUGGACAAUGGGCGAAAGCCUGAUCCAGCCAUGCCGCGUGUGUGAAGAAGGUCUUCGGAUUGUAAAGCACUUUAAGUUGGGAGGAAGGGCAGUAAGUUAAUACCUUGCUGUUUUGACGUUACCAACAGAAUAAGCACCGGCUAACUUCGUGCCAGCAGCCGCGGUAAUACGAAGGGUGCAAGCGUUAAUCGGAAUUACUGGGCGUAAAGCGCGCGUAGGUGGUUCAGCAAGUUGGAUGUGAAAUCCCCGGGCUCAACCUGGGAACUGCAUCCAAAACUACUGAGCUAGAGUACGGUAGAGGGUGGUGGAAUUUCCUGUGUAGCGGUGAAAUGCGUAGAUAUAGGAAGGAACACCAGUGGCGAAGGCGACCACCUGGACUGAUACUGACACUGAGGUGCGAAAGCGUGGCGAGCAAACAGGAUUAGAUACCCUGGUAGUCCACGCCGUAAACGAUGUCGACUAGCCGUUGGGAUCCUUGAGAUCUUAGUGGCGCAGCUAACGCGAUAAGUCGACCGCCUGGAGAGUACGGCCGCAAGGUUAAAACUCAAAUGAAUUGACGGGAGCCCGCACAAGCGGUGAAGCAUGUGGUAUAAUUCGAAGCAACGCGAAGAACCUUACCUGGCCUUGACAUGCUGAGAACUAUCCAGAGAUGGAUUGGUGCCUUCGCGAACUCAGACACAGGUGCUGCAUCGCUGUCGUCAGCUCGUGUCGUGAGAUGUUGCGUUAAGUCACGUAACGAGCGCAAC
rnacentral:rRNA from 1 species